rnacentral:tRNA from 1 species
UCCCUGGUGGCUCAGAUGGUAAAGCAUCUGCCUAUAAUGUGGGUAGACCCGGGUUCAAUCCCUGGAUUGGGAA